UACGUAGGGGGCUAGCGUUGUCCGGAAUCAUUGGGCGUAAAGCGCGUGUAGGCGGUCCGGUAAGUCCGCUGUGAAAGUCGGGGGCUCAACCCUCGGAUGCCGGUGGAUACUGUCGGGCUUGAGUACGGAAGAGGCGAGUGGAAUUCCUGGUGUAGCGGUGAAAUGCGUAGAUAUCAAGCGGAACACCAGUGGCGAAGGCGAGUCCCUGGACAACUCCUGACACUGAGGCACGAAAGCUAGGGGAGCAAACAGG
rnacentral:rRNA from 1 species